UUGCCUCUACCCUUACCUGAAAACUAAACAUUUAAAAGAGUGAGUAUAAAUUUAUACUUAGUAAGAGACCCAUAUUGGUCUCAGUAUGUGUCUGUUAACCUAGAGUCAUGUAACAUGGUACUGCAUACUAUUGCGCUCCCGAAUGCAUACUAUCCAAUGGUCCCGUAGGGACACAUUUGGGCUCUGGUGAACCCGAAGGAAUAACCCUAUAGGAGAGUCGGGUUGUAAGUGAUCCCAUCGAAUCACAUCUCAAACCAGCCACAUAGGCAUACAUAGGUGGUGAACCGAGGACCCUCAUAUGGUAUGACUCUAACAGGCAAAACUAACAGAACACUAUAGCCUAUACAUGCUUAUCAUAGCAUCAACAUCUUAGCUCAGUUACACAUAACUCAAAAGUCACAUAUUUGAUCAUAGCAUGCCUCAACAAAGAAUAUUAUAUCUAAAUCAUAAUAUGGUUUACUAAGUAACUAUUUAUACGGCCAUCUCAAAUAGACAUAUUAUACAUCUCUUACUUACACUACUAAACAAUACAUAACAUACAUGCAACUUCCAAGUAGGGUUUAGUACGAAAAAUCUCUUACCUGGAGAUUCACAAAAGAAAUAGUACUCCUCUGAUUGAGAGUCAAAUCCUCACAAUAAACUCAGUCCUAAACAUGAACAAAAUUAAACUUAAUAAUUUUGUCAAUCUAUCACUUUACUGUUUAAUUAGGCAACCAAUUCAAUCAAACUUACCCCAAAGAUUUAAAGUUGAUCUCAAUACAACCUUAAAUUGAAAUUUGCACAAUUCAAUUCCUCAACCACACCUUAACCUUCAAAAAACAUAAUACAACUCAUUCCAGUGCUAACUUAUUUAAGACCCAAAACAAUAAUUAUUUGGGCGUACCAAACCCAACAAGAACUAAGCAAAAACUCACCAAGGGCUUAAAUAUGUUGCAGACGGCUAAAACUGAAGGUGGCUCGGCUAGCAAGGCUUCGGCUCGGGUCUUGAGACUCACGGCUCGCAUACGGCUCACACAGGAUCGACUCAGUUGUGUAUGGCUCGCGUACGCUUACAUGGAACGGCUUGGAUCAAAGAGAUGACUCACGCGGCUCGGUGAAGGGACACGGCUUGAACUGACGCGGCUUGGACGUGUGGCUCGCGAAAAGAAAAUUGUCAUGGCUUGCAUCCUUGACUGUCAAGCGCGAUGAUGUCCGGCGGUGCUGUGCAAGUGGAGGCUACGACCGAUGAUGGUUUCGACAAAAGAGAGGGUUACGAUCGACGACGCGAAGGAGGAGCGCACGGCGGAAGAUAGGGGUCGUUCGACUGUCCGAUGCAACACGAGUCGACACGGCUGGAGAGAAACGAACGGUUGUGCUUCGUGACCGUGAUGCUUCGACUAUGCGACCGUGACGAGGACUCUCUCACUGGAGUGUUGUGCGCGACGAUGGCUGAAGUGGGGCGGCGACUGCUCUAGGGUUGAAUGGUGAAGAAGAAAGAGGGGUGGAGAAGAUGGACAUGAAAAAUGAAAGAGGCUUAUUUAAUAUAUACAAUAAUAAUAAUAAUACAGUAUUAUUAUCAUUACUAUUGUCAUUAUCUUUAUUAUCAUUAUUUAAUUUCCCCAACGAACUCAUUUUUUUCUAUUUCAAAUAAUUUUUCUCUUUCUUCAUUACCGACUCAAUAUAUCAUCAAUAACUUCUCUCUUAAUAAUAUAUUAUGAAUAAUUAUAUUAUCCCAUAAUAUAAUUAUUCUUAUUCCUCUAUAACUUUGCUUAUACUGAUAAACAAUAAUUACUCAUAAUACUUCAAACUUUACAAAUUUAAUUUACCAACCAAUCAAUCCAAAAAUCACCACUUUAACAAUAGGAUUUCAAAUUUCAGAAUUAACCACAUAUCACUCCAACGUACUUAACUUCCACAAAUCAAAUAAUUUCACACAUAACACCUAAAAAAUUUCAAUAUAACACACAUUAAAGUUAACUUACUAGUUUUGGGGUGUUAUAUUGAAAUCAAUCAUUUCCUUCAUCCACCUUCAUCUACGUUUGUGCCCAGCUCUCACGACCACCAUCAAAAUAUUUUUCUCUCCAGUGAAUCGUGUUUGUGAGAUAGCCAGAUUCAGCAUUCACCACCCACAAAUCUCCAACUCUGAACCCAUUCGGUUAGAUACCCACCUAAAAUCGGACUGAUUCUGAUUCAGCAGUCACAACCCACACGUUUCAGCAGUCACCGGUGAACCUAUUUGAUGAGAUAUCUGGUGAACCCAUUAGUUUGUAGCUUUAAAAAAGAUAAACUCUUAUACUUUUGUGUACGUUACUCUGAACGCUUUUGUUUACUGUGAUGUUCUAUGCUAAUUUGUAUUGUUUUCUAACAUAUCUUCCAAUUGCUAGGAAGAAGUUGCUUAAGUGAUUCUUAAAGAAGGGUAAGGAGAGGUAAUGAUUCAUACUCCUUGAAAAUUAAAUCCGUAUUUUUAUUUAUUUGUAUUAUCUUUAAGAUUUUGAAAAGUUUUUUUUACGCUUGUGUAUCCAAAGAAUGAAUGGAUGCUUUCGAUUUGUAAUUAUUGAAUUGGUUUGUGCUUCAAUAUUACAAAAUCUUGGAGCAUGCAUGCAUGUAUAUUUUAAUUGAUUGUGCGAUGAUAAUAUACUCAUGCACACGAGUGCACAUGCACUUUUUGUAUUUAAUUGAAGUUUCUCUUCUUUUUUUUUAAGUUGCUCAUCGGUCUUUUGUAGAUAUAUUUGGUACUUGGUAUAUGUUGUCAGUAUUUAAGCGUGUCGGAGGGCUUUUUAACACACCUCAAAUUGUUAGUAAAAGAAAAUCAAACUAAUUACUUCCAUUCAUUUGGAAUUAUAAUGUCAUAAUGAUGGUUAGAAGUUUGUGUUUGGUCUUCGUCGAUGGUUUUAAUUUGAGAUUUGCUUGUUAGUUGAUUGAGUGAUACGAUUACGAGUUUUGUAGUUGUUUGAGUGUAUAUAGAACUUUUUGGUUGUUUGGGUUUAUAUAGAACUUGUUAGUACGUUUUUGGAAUGUGGAUAAGAAUUUAAUUUCUUUUUCAUAUGUGCUUAUUUGAUAGUCUUGCUUUAUUCUAAUUGUUUGGUUGUUGGGUGUAUAUAGAAAUUUACAUUAAUUAUAUUUAGUCUUCAACUUUUUAGGUAUUAUUGUUGAUUAUAGUUGAGUUCACAAGUGUAAGAUUACUUAAAUAUUCCUUAUUGUUUUUUUGACAUUUUUUUGUAGAUUAAAUUGCAUCCUUAUAUAAUAUGGAUAAGCCAUGGAUGAAAAAUAAUAGAAUGUUAACUGAUUAUGUUGUUGGGGUUGAGAUGUUUAUUAAAAAUGGGUUGAAACAUUCGAAGACAUCGAACAUCAUGACUUGUUCUCGUUUAAAGUGCGUAAAUGCAAAGACUUUACAUGUGAAUACAAUUAGAGAUCACUUAUUAUUUUUUAACGGCAUCGAUAAGAGUUAUCAAGUAUGAAUUUUUCAUGGUGAAUCACUACCAAUGAAGAGAAACAAUGAAAGUGUCUUUAGUAGUGCAAGAGAAGAAAUUAACGUGGAUGAUGUUGAUGACAUAAUUGGGAUGUUUGAUGUUGGUGACAUAAUUGGGAUGUUUGAGGGUGCACACAAUUAUUUUAAUGACCAAGUUAGAAAAUUUGAGAAACUACUAGAUGAUGCCAAGAAACCAUUAUAUCCUAAUUGUAAAAUUUUUACCAAAAUAUCUACAUUGAUAAAAUUAUAUAAUUUGAAAGUUAAAUUUGGAUGGAGUGAAAAGAGUAUCACGGAGUUAAAAUUAAUUGGUGACAUCUUACCUACUCCUAAUAAAAUCCCUACUUCUACUUAUGAAGCAAAAAGAUUUUGUGUACUCUUGGAAUGAAGUACGAGAAGAUACAUAAAUGUAGAAAUGAUUGUUCCUUGUUUAGGAAAGAACUCUCUUAUGCAAAUGUACGCCCCUUUCGUGAUGUUAUUAUUUUUAGAUUUUGAGUUUUCACUUAUAGUCAUCGGAUAUAGUGUGUUUAUUUGAUAUGUGAAUAUAUAUAUGUGUGUGUGUGUGUGUGUGUGUGUGUGUGUUGGAUGAUGUGUAUUUGUUGUAGUACUUUAUGGAAGUGUGAAAAAGUGUGUUGGUAUAUUAUGUGUUGGAUCUUAUUCAUUGCGGGUGAAAUAGGAAUCCUAUUGGUUUGUCAUAGAGGACAACAUGCAUUUAUUUGAUAUGUGAAUAUAUAUAGGUGUUGGAUUAUAUGUAUUUGUUUAAUUCUAUAUGGAAGAAGUGUGGAAAAGUGUAUUUGAUGUGUAUAAGGUUUGCCAUGGAGUAGUAGCUCUAGCAUUCUAUAGCUAGCAAGCCUGCCAACAAUUUUUUUUUACAUUUUUCACAAUAUACGAUGAUGAACAUUUCCUCUCAUAAUUCGAGACAAAUAAUAUCGGUUUUGAUGUCAUAAAAAAUGGACAAUAAUGCAACAAUAUAAUAAAAAUGGGCCAGAAACAAGGUUUUGAUGUCGUUUUAAAAAUGACAUUAAAGGUGUCUUUAAUGUCAGUUUAGAAAUGACAUCAAAGGCCUCUUUAAUGUCGGUUUAAAAUCAAAAUCAAAGGCCAAGGACAUUCAAGACCUUCAAUAAAACCAUCAAAGAUAUUGAUUUUUUGACAUUAAAGGCCUUUGAUGUCGGUUUUAAACCGACAUUAAAGAGGCCUUUAAUGUCGUUUCUAAACCAACAUUAAAGUCAAAUCGACAUUAAAGGCCUUUUAUAAUGCUUGCAAAGACGUCAGUUGACAACUGACAUUAAAGGCAAAAUUUCUUCUAGGGAUUUGAGAAUUUUUGGAUGUGUCAUAUAUGUUCCAAUUGCUCUAUUACAACGUACUAAGAUGGAUCCUCAAAGAAGGCUAGAAAUAUAUGUUGGAUUCGAUUCUCCAUAAAUUAUUAAAUAUCUUGAAAUCUUGAACCUCUUACGGGUCUACAUGAUUUAUUGAUUAUCAUUUUAAUUAGACAAAUUUUCAACGUUAUAAGGAGAAAUUAAAAAAAUUGGAAAAAGAAAUUACAUGAAAUGUAUCAUUAUUGUCUCAUUUGGAUCCUCGUACAGAUCAAUGUGAACUUGAAGUUCAUAAAAUAAUUCAUUUGCAAAAUAUAUAUAGCAAAUCAGUUACUAGAUGCAUUUGUAGAUGCAAAGAAAGUAACUAAAACACAUCAGAGUUGCAAAUGUCUCAUAAAAAAUUGAUAUCCCAACAUAACAACUUGUCAUUAAAGAUAAAAAUCCUUGAAAUAGAAAUUGAGUCAAUAACUCGAUUAAGGAUAUGGAUGUUCCAGAAGAAAUCCUAUGACACAAAAUAUCGAAGAAGAUAAAACAACUAAGACAGGAAAGAGAUGGAAUAUAAUUAAUGCAGUUGUUGAUAAUAGUUUGCACUUGAUACUAUAUUAAAAAAUGAAGAUCCAUAACCAAAAUUCGUUGAAGAAUGUCGACAGAGAAAAGAUUGGUCUUUGUGGAAAGAAUCAAUUGAGGCAAAAUUAAAUUCACUUUCAAAAUGUCAAGUUUUUGAAUCAGUAGUCCAAACAGCAAAAGGUGUCAAACCUGUGGAAUAUAAAUGGAUAUUUGUGAGAAAAAGAAAUGAAGAUAAUGAGAUUACAAGAGAUGAAGGAAGAUUAGUUGCACAAGGUUUUUCACAAAGACCUGGUAUUGACCAUGAGGAGACAUAUUCUCUGAUGGUGGAUGAAAUCACAUUAAGAUUUUUUAUUGGCUUGGUUGUGUAUAAAAAUUUGGACAUGCAUCUUAUGGAUGUAGUCAUAACAUAUUUAUAUGGAUCUCUUGAUAAUGAUAUUUAAAUAAAAGUUCUAGAAGGAUUUAAGAUACUUGAAAUAUAUAAAUCAAGUUUUCGAGAACUAUAUUCAAUAAAGUUACAGAGAUCAUUAUAUGGAUUAAAACAAUCAAUACUAAUGUGGUAUAUAAUCAUCUGAGUGAAUAUUUGUUGAAGGAAGGAUAUCAAAAUAUUCAAAUAUGUCCAUGCAUUUUUAUAAAUAAAUCAUAGCCAAGAUUUGCUAUUAUAACUCUAUAUGUUGAUGAUUUAAAUAUAGUCUGAACUCUUGAAGAGCUUUCAAAGACAAUAAAAUAUCUUAAGAAAGAAUUCAAGAUGAAAGACCUCGGAAAUACAAAUUUUUGCCUCAGUUUGCAAUUUGAGCAUUUGGCAGAUGAGAUAUUUGUUUAUCAAUCAACUUAUAUUGGAAAUUUUUUUAAAAGACUUUAUAUGGAUAAAGCACAUCCAUUGAACAUUCCAAUGCAAGUUCGUUUACUAGAUGUAAAGCAAUAUAUAUUUCAACCCCGAGUUGAUAAUGAAGAACUUCUUGACCUAUAAGUACCAUAUCUUAGUGCAAUUGUUACACUUAUGUAUCUUGUUAAUAAUACAAGACCAGAUAUUGUAUUUUUAGUAAAUUGAUAACUACAUCUUCCUUUGUGGACUUAGAAGCACUGUGGUUUCUUUAAGAAGUUUGAAUAUAGUCUUUGUUAUUGUGUAGAAUUGUAAGCUGCUAGUUUUCUUGUUAAGGCUCAUUCAAUUUCCCAUUUUAAUCAUUUCACUUAAAAUUGUUGACCCACUUGCAUCUUGGAGUUAUUUUAUUUCAAAUUCUUGAUAAGCAAAUCAAAAUUUGGGACGUAUCUACUGGACAAUGUAAUAUAACUGUGCAACAUCAUACAGACAAGGUAAGAAUCUCAAUUGUAUUGCUUUGAUCGUGCGUGUUCGAGUUCAUUCAUUCAAACUUGCACCAACAAUGAUCUGUUCAUGAGCAUGAAUGUAAGCAAGCUUUGAGACAUCUCACAUUCACCUUUUGCUGAAUUUUAUACAUAAAAAGUGAAAAGCCUAAAUUUGAGCAUUUUCAUAUUAAUUGGUUUGAUCUUUUUUUUUUUUUAGGAUGAAAUCUAUUAUCAUUAAUCCUUCUAGGAAAGAGUAUGGUUUGAUGGUGAAUUACUACACAAGGAGAGGUGAUAUGAACGGUGCACGUGAAAUCUUUGAAAAUAUGCGAGCUAGGGAAAUAGAACCAUGGUCUCAUGUCUACACAAAGUAAUAACUACUCCUAUUUUCUCCCUUUCUUUCGUCAUAUGUUAAUUUGAUCUCAACGUUAGCUUAAUAUUUUUGCUUCAUUUAUUGACAUAAAGGUCACCAUUCUAGUUUUGAAUAUGGUUAAAGUUUGAUUGAUUUGUAUAGAAGGCCAAUUAAGUAUUUUAUGCUUGAAAUAUAUAUUUUGAUGGUAGAUAUGUCGUUGCAAAAGUAUAUUUACUAUAUUAAUUCAAUCUAAAUAUUUUUCAAGUGUGUCGUUUUGCGAUAAUAGUAAGCUUUAAUGAUGUGCAACAUUAUUCAUACCAUCUUUUGUUAGAAAAAUGAAAGAAGAGAAGGAGGCAUAGAAAUGAGCUUGGUAACUUACACCAUUCUUGUUGGUGGAUUUGCCAAAAUGAAAAAUGCAGAGUAAGUAAUUAUUAUUAAAUGUGUGCAUGCGUAGGUUCAUAAAAUUUUCGUUAUAUAUAUACAUAUAUUUCUUUUGCAUAUAUAACGUUAUAAAAUAUGGCCACGGGCGUGUUGCACUCAUAGAAGUACAUAAUCAUUGUGAUGCUAUUGUGGAUGGAGCAAAUGUUGGCCUCUGUCAACAUAAUUUUGUAGAUUAUGGAUUUAAUCUUCCUCAUGUUGUAAAGUAUAUAUUUUGGUCUUACAUAGCCAGCCAAGCUAAGCGAUUAUGAAGAUUUGUUUAGCAUUUUAUGAGAAUGGUGAUGCAUUAAAGAUUCGAUUUUAUUGAAAUCUUGUUCCUUUUAAUAAAGAUGUAGCACUUCACUUCACAUGCUAUCUGUCAAUGCUCAUCAUAUAUUAAUUAUUGAAAUCUUGUUCCUUUUAAUAAAGAUGUAGCACUUCAUUUCACAUGCUAUCUGUCAAUGCUCAUCAUAUAUUAAUUUCUAACUCGCACAUCCUAUUACUUGUAAAUUGAUGCAUAUGAUGCUUUUUAUGCUAGGAUCAAAUUUAUUUUGUAGAUAUUUAUGUUUUUUUUUUUUUUUGGUAUAGCUAUUUGGAGUGUUAUGUGAAGCAAAAUAUCUUUAGAAUGUGAUGCGUUUUGGUUUUCGAUUGAGAUUAGUCUUGGUAAUUAAUUGUUUUCAAUUGUGUUUUAUUUUAUCUUUUAGUUAAUUUUAGUAGUAAUGUUUUUGUUUUCUUUAGUUUAGUUUGAGUAUUAGUCUGUUUUGAUAUAUUUGUAGGUUGCAUCUAUUUUUCCAUAUAUUUAUCUUUGAUCAAUACCUAGCUAGUGGAGUAUGGACUUCCUUAUAUUCCAUGUUCUUUUACUAUUUGGGAUUUUCACCUUCGAUAUAUGAAAUUCAUUAACUAUUUUCAUUUGAAAGGAAAAACGAUCCAAUAGGAGUUUGUAAGAUUAUUUAUCAUCUCCAUUAUUCAACUUUCUCUAUAAAAACAAUGUUUUUAUUGAUGGGUAAAUUUAUACAAUUAAGAGUAAGAAGCCUGUAGACUAACAUUGCUAAAUUGAACAUUUAAAAUUUGCUUUGAAGUCAGAGUCGAGGAUAGUAUAAUUAUUCUUUAGUUGUAUUCCUCUUUUUGUUGUUGAUCUUUGAAGAACCAAAUCAGGUUAACGAGUUGUUUGAUAAAAGCUAAUUUUCUUCUUUAUUUCUGCAGUACUUUUGGGUUGUCAUUUCAAUCGUCUUCUUUGUUGUUGCUACAUUAUUUACUUUACGAAAACUUUGUAGUAAUUUUUAAUUUUCCACAUUUAGAUUGCAGUCUGUUUAGUUUGAUUUUAAAUAAUAUACUAAUUUUGCAGAUUCUAGAUUUUAUCUUCCUCAGGUUGUAAAGUAUAUUUUGGUCUUUAGCCAGCCAAGCUAAGCUAAGCGAUUGUGUGGAUAGCGAUCGUUGAAAGUUGAAGAUUGUGAAGGCGUUUAAGAUUUCUUAUUUAAGUCUUGUAUUAGGAUCUAGUUUCAUGUAUUAUUGUAGAAUGUAUAUACAAACGCAAUAUUAAUUUCAUUUUCUGUAUACAAAUGUAAAAGAAAAUAUUGUAGUUUCUAAAUAAUAUUAAUUUUAUUGAUUUGUUGGAGUGAGCAAAAAAUAUUUAUUUACACGUAUCUAAUGUCAGUUUAUAAAAAAUAGACAACAAUGCAACAAUUAAAUAAAAAUAAAUUUUGUAAAAAUAGAUCCAAAAACAAGAUUUUAAUGUCAGUUUAAAAACGACAUAAAAGGCAAACCGACACUAAAGGUCAACAAUAACACCGAUAAAAUAUUGUCAGUUUAAAACUGACAUCAAUGGUCAUUAAUGUCGCUUUUAACCGACAUUAAUGAUGUCUUUGAUGUCGUUUUAAAUCGAUAUCAAAGUAAAAACGACAUAAAGGCCUUUAAUAAGGCUAGCAAGAUGUCGGUUCCGAACCGACACCAAAGGUCAUUAAUGUCGGUUUAAAACCGACAUUAAAUGGUAAAUUUCUUCUAGUGUCAGAUUCCUCUGAAAGCUUAUAAUUCUCCCUUUCGUCGACUCAAACUCAGACCUCCUUUACUCAAAUUUAUCUGGUAGCCCUACUCUAGAAACUAGAGUCAAUUUUGUGAACUAUUGAGAGUAAUUUCAACCAAAACGCACAAGUAUGAUAGGAGAAAUGUCAUUCUAAAGUUUCCUAUUUAUAUUGAGUCUUACAUGAGCCUUUAUUGACACGACCUACUUGCCGAAAUUUAACUUAAGUAUGUAGAGAACACUUGUAAAGUACCCAUGGACUCCACCUCUUCAUUAUCUUGUCUAACCAAAACACGUAAGUGUGGAACAUCAAGAUAAACACCUAACUAACUUCAAACAUGGCCGCAAGCACUCCUUCCUCGCGUGCAAGUUACUCGCCCAACAUCAUGUUCUAGCUUUCUCGCCUAGCAUCUUAAGCUUAAUAACCUCUAAAUGACAAGCUUUCCUCGCCCUAAAAAUCUUUCUCGCAUAGCUUGCUAACUCUUUGCUCUCAAUCGCCUAGGGACACUCUUCACCACCAAUAACCUCUACGGACAAGCCUUGUUGCCUAGCCAAACACACACUCAAGCUUAGCUACCUACCUUGUCCAAACGCCUAAAUAACCACUUUAGAGGUUAUAUUUCCUUCUUUUGGCUGCCUACAACAUCACCCUAUAACCUCUAAACGCUUUGUCUUAAACCUUUGACACUUAGUCAAUUAUUUUUACGGUUAAAUUUGGGUCUUAAAUCAUGUAUUAAAAUAAACCAAAUUUUAAACUACUCAUAAUUUAAAUUUUUUAAGUGAAUACUAUUUUUUAAUAAAAUUUUAGUUUUUGUUUAAUGAUAAAUAAAACUUUAGAGAUCACCCGAUUCUUUUUAUAGUUGUAUCCACAAAAUAGGAGAGAUUUCAUUUUUUUUUUUAAAAAAAUCAACUUUAAACGUGUAUGCACAAAAAUAUGGAAGAUUUUUUCUUCCUUCUUUUAGGGUGAAUUUUAGAUUUUAAGGAUAAAAUUAUUUUUUAAAAAAGAAAUUAUACUUUGAAAAGUAGGUGAGAUUUUAAAUUUUUUUUAAAGGUGAAAUUAGGGAAUUUUCAAAAUGGGGAAUUUUCAAAAAGAGUAAACAAUUUACCCUCAAUAAAAUAUUUACAUUUUCAUACAAAUUUUUGUAUUUCAUAGAAAAGAAACUGUAAUUGAUUUUAUUUUUGUCUUUCAAUAGUUUGUUUUUAUGAAGUUUAAAUAAUUUUUUUUUUAUUGUUUUUUUAUUGUAAUUGACAUGAUAUUACAAUGAUUUUAUCAACAGAAAAAAAAACUAUUCAAUUGGUCACUACAGAAGACAAAUAAAUAAAAAAGUGAAUUCGAACUUCAUUAUAAGAUUGGAGAUUUCACAAAUGAUUCAAUUUGAAAUCAAAAAAGACAUAUUGACAUAUUACUUGAAAGUGUGUCAUAGAUUAGGCUUCACAAUUUACCAAAUCUUCAUCAUAUUUACAUUUUUACGAACUGGGUGAAAGAAAAGUUAGAAAGGGUGUGCAUUAUAUCAUAACAACUACAUGAAAGAGUGGAGGAGUGUAAACGGAUUGAGUUGGGUUGGACGACAUCCUAACCCAACCCAUAUUUUAGGUUGGUUGGAUUGACAAUAUGAAUAACCCAAAUAGUAUUUUUAACCAACCCAAUCAAACCUUAAAUUAUGGAAUAAGUUGGGUUGGGUUGUCGAGUUGAGAAGAAGAUGGCGAACGUCGGAGAUUGUGAACACUAGAGAUGAGAGAUCCAAACGAGAGGGGAGUGAGUCAGAGAGAUAAGGAGUGAUGUGAAGACUGAAGUUGAAUGAAGUGAGGAUGAGGAGUAAGUCUCUGAGCUACUUCUUUUCCAUUUACUAACUAAUAAUAAAAAUAAAUAAAUAAAUAUUAUAUAUAUAAUAUAUAUAUAUAAAUAUAUAUAUAUAAAUAUAUAUAUAAAAUAAUAAAUAUAUAUAUAUAUAUAUGUAUGUAUGUAUGUAUGUAAGACCUAGAUCCAAAAGGCAAGUCCUAUUGAAAAAGAGCCUUGUUGAAAAAAGGGAGUUCAUUUGAGUAUAAGUGUUAUCGAGUUAGAGUAAGUUGACCACCAUUAAUCGCUUCCGACCAACCUCUGAUGACUAGUUUUUGACAAUUGUAGUUGACCAAACUUCGAAUGCUUGUUUUAUGGCAAUAGUCACAAGAAAAUUAUUGACCACCAUUAAUAGUCGUCGGCGAACCUGUGGUUACUGCUUUUCUGGCUACUAUUUUUUAGCAACCUUCGACGGUCAACUUUCAUCUACUGUUUUUUCGACAACCAUUGUUGAUCGAACCCGACAAUCUUUUUCUAACAACCAUCGUCGAUCAACUUUUGAUGAACUUUUUUAUGGCAACUAUUUUUUUUUAUCACUAGCAGUAACUUCCUUGUACCAUUUUUCUCGUAAUCGCUGCUGGUCAACCUCUGAAAUCGUCGACCAUUUUUCAGCGACUAUUGCUAGACAACUUUUGUUUAUUGUUGAUCGACUAGCAUUGUUGGCCAGCUUUCGUUGACCAUUUUCGAUGACCCAAUACUGGUUAACUUUCCUCAACCAUUGUCGGUAAACUUUUGUCGGCUGUUUUUUAUGACUGUUGCUGGCAAGUAUCAAUGACCGUUGUUGGCCAACUAUUAAGGACCAUUUUUUUUUUCAAUUAGCAUAAACAUAGAAAAGGACAACAUUGUCAUCUACCUAAUUAUAGAAGCUACUUCUAAAGGAAGGUCAAAAAUGGAAGAAAAAAAUUUCUCCUCAUUCAAGCUUCUAUAUAUAAUAUAGAUAAUAUUGUAAAUGUACAUCUAUCCAUAACCUACAUAGGUUAUCAAUCGUCAUAUAACUCUCAUUCAAUUCCAUGUUGUAACAUACAUCCUACUAAGAUUCAUAUUGUAAUUUGUACCAUGACAUGACAUGUCUUAUAAUUAGAGAUAUGUGAUGUCUUUCUUAGAUAUACCAUCAUUGAGUUCAAUUGCUUUCCAUGUUUUCUCCCUUCUCUAUUAUUCUCUUUUGUGUUGUUUCAUUGUUCUGAUGUAUUUUCUUUAUUCUUAUUUUAUAGUAUUAAAAUCCAUAACAAACACAAUGAGUGUUUUUUCUUUGAAUUAUCAUUUAUGUAAAAUAAAUUAAUCAGGAUAAUUUAAGUUUGUCUUUAAAGUAUAAAACAACGUAGGAUAAAUUUAAGAUAAUUUGUUGGUUUUUUCCCCCAAAAGUAGAACAAAAUGCAAAAUUAUUUACACCGUAUAGAACAAUUUUGAAAAAAGAAGAGCCCACAAGUCCAUAACGUAAAAUAACAAAAAUACCUCGGAAUUAAUUGACCACAAACAUACACAAAAAAAAGCUUCUAAUUUAAACGGUUGUAUAAUAUAGUCCAAAAUAUCGUUUAGAUAUUGGUACACAAUCGUUUAGAUGUUGGUAAGUGAUCCGUUUGAAUCUAUUACUUAUCUAUUUAGGAUAGAUAGUGAUAGUGAUCUAUAUGAGAUAGAUGACUGAUUGUUUAGAUUUUGGAACACAGUCAUUUAGUAAAAAAAGAAGAAAAAUAAAGAAGAUGAAAGAUGACGUACAAGGAAGAAAUUAUGGAACAAGAGAUGAAGAAAUCGCAAAGAAGAAGAAGUGAGAAUAUGAGGAAGAUAUGUCGGAAUUCAAUACUCAUCCAAAAAAAUUCGAAACCAACCACGAAAUCAUGGAACUUGUGAAAAAAUAACAAUGGCUUCAUGAACUUUUAUUUUAUUUUUAUAUGGACGAUAAAUACUUUUGAUUGUUGUUUUAUAUAUAUAAAUUAACCAAAUUUGUUCCGUGACGAAGUAGCCAAGUAAUAUUCUCCCUUAAUCCGCUUUGGACUGUGCUUUUCUUUCCUUUUGUGUUUUGAAAUACUAAACUUUUCAUAUUUUUUUUAAAUGGAAAGAUAAGCUGAUUAUUAUUAAAACAAAAUUGUUAAACUUUUUGAGAAUACGAAAUGAGAAAUUCUUUUACAUUCCAACUCUUUAGAUUCCUUUAAAGAAUGUGUUUACUUCUUUAUUUUAUAUUUCAUUAACGUUAAUUAUUUACAAUUAAUUGAAAAAAUUAUGAGACAAAAUUACACAUGUUUUACUUUUCUCAACAAUAGAAAUAUAAACUUGUAAACAUGAAAAACUGUAAUGACUGUUCUUUACUACGAAAUAUAUUGUCAAACAAUAACCAAGAUAAGAGAUAAUAACAAAACAACAAGAAGUAAACGAAAAAACACACGAGAAUUGUGUCCGGGAAAGUUAAUCCACGGAAAUCAAUAAGUCAAGCAAUUAUAAAGUUGUAUUUAUAUAAACACUCUUCCGCUCACAAAGACAAUCGUAGAACUAAUUCACUGGACACUUGGGAAACAUUCUCUUUAAUACUUAGGCUCCCCUAAGUAUGCUACUAUUAGUGAAUAACUACUCAAACUCCCCUAAAUAAUAGAAAUUCUUGAUUAAUCAUUCCUCUUUACUUGUGAACUCCCUUCACGAAUAAACUUAGACUCCCCCUAAGUUGAUGAGAUCUCCCUUCUCGAUAGAGCCAACUUUAGGAUCUCCUAAAGCAAUGUCAUUAGAUUGGUUUCAAAUUAAUCUUUAGCCAAGCAUUCACACGAACAACAGCCACACGCACAUAGGAAUGAAUCCUUUGAAUAUCGACUCUUCUUAGCCCAAAUGGUAAAGAGAAAUCAAGAUAUAUGCAGCAACCCUAGCACAAAGACUUCCUUAAGCUUAAAAAGGACAACAUAAACAAAGAGAAAAGCUUAGAAAAAAUGGACAUAAUGGGUGUCCAUGAGGGGUCAUUAUAUCAACCUGUCUAAUGUAUGUCCCUAAAAUUUUGAAUACCAAUAACUUGAGAUGUUAAAGAAAAUUGAAUAUGGUCUUUUAGAGCAAAGAGUACAUAAAGAACACAAAUAGAGAAGAAAUAAUAAAGAUGAAAGAAAUGAUGCAACUUCAAGUGUUGGGAAGAAAAUGAUGAAUAAAAUGGUAAUUUUAAUAGUAGAACGUGAGUUACAAAGUUUUGUUUUUGAAUUCUACCCCUUCUUACAUUUAAUUAUAUAUAUUAUAUGCAUAAUAGGGUUGGGUGAACCAGAUCAGUAUUUUUUUUCUCUAAUUUAAUCCAACCCAACCGUGAUGAUUAUUCUAGUUUAUUUUGCUCAAGUGUUUAGAGUAACUGCUUUUAUUGAAAUAAUGUUUACAAAUAAGGGCCAUAAUUUUAGUCCAAAACGACCCCGUAGUAUCUCUAUUCUACCUCUUACCCCGAACAUCCCCUCCCUCUUGCCUCCAAAACAUCCUCUUCGUAUCUUUUUUUAUAAUUUACCGAUUCUGUGGCUUUCAGUUUUCACAAUUUUUUGGUAACUUCUUUUCCCAAAGAAUAUUGCUCUUUUCUUCGCCGGUUCCGUCGCGAACUAAUUUUCACCUCCCCAACUUCUGCCUGACUUUCUUCCGUAGGGCUGCUGGUAUCCGAUUCUUGUUUACAAUCUGUUCCCAUUCUUCCUUUGCUAUCUUCGCUGCUAACAUUGUUGAAAUUGUUCGGUAUUGCCAUUUCCCGAGUUUGAAUAGCUUCUUGUAGGGAUUGGCUCUCAACCGAAGGCCAUUCAGGUACCUUCUUCGUCCCUCUCAAUUACCCUUUUUGUAUUUGCAUUUUAGGGAGUACUUCGUAUGGAUAUGUCACUAUGAUCAAUCCUAUUCCUGUUUCAAGAACGGGUGUUUGUUCUAGUCUUAAGGGAAAGUGAAGUAUUCUCUUUCAUUGUAGGUCGGAUUUUUAGUCAUUUUUUAUUUUGUUAUUCCACUCAUUGAAUUUAGUUGCUAAGUAGCAGGACUGGAACUACAAUAGAGUAAUGGCGUCUUCAGAUGAUGAGGCUGAGACCUUACCAGUACCAACUUAUGCUGAAUCAUUUGGUGGCAGAUGCCUUUUCUCGUUUUAGUAGCUCUAGGAUAUUGUUGGGAUUCUGUCAUUUGUUGUUUGAUAGAGAAGCAACUGACAUAGUGGCUCUUGUAUCCUCGAACGAGACAUUUGAUAUUAAUACGAAGGAGAAGGAUUGUUUCUCUUUUGGAGCUUGAAUCCUUCUAAAAGUAUUUCUUGUAGUUCCCUCUUUUGGAGCUUUUGUGAAAAUUUUAAGAAUGUAGUUCCCUCUUUUAGAGAUUUUGUAAAAUUUUUCUAGAAGACUUAGCACUUCUGUUUGUGGUAAGUCAAUCAUGGAAGACUUCUACAGAUAUUUCUUUUAAAAAGAAGACAGCCUCUUUAUUAAUAUUAAUAUAAUAAUAAUGAGACAAAAGCUCAUAAUACAAAAGAAUUAUACAAUGAGCAUGUAAGCAUGGAUCGGGGGUGCACCUGGACAUCUCAACUAGGUUGACACCCCCUUAACACCCUCAUCAUAUCCAACCAAGCUAAAACCCAUAACAAAGGAGUAAUGGCUAAAGGCAAAACAAACACAAAAGAAGUACAGGGAAAUACAAAUACAAAUACAAGACUAAACAUCCUUCUAAAUAAAAGGCGACCAAAAACUUGCACCAAGACAAACUCGAGAUCAUAGGAGGAAGAACACUAUGAGGAGGCUGAAAAGAGGAAGACUUUUACAGAUUAGAUUGGUUUUUAGAAAGAUGAUCCUUUUUGUAGGGCUGCUUUUUCACAUUCUGUAUUGGUGGGCAGAAAAAAGACUUCAAUCAUAUCUUUUUGAAUCAUGACUUUGUUUGGUUAGUUUGGAGUUGUUUCUAUGAGGUGUUUGACUUUCCUUUUGCUAGACACAUGCUGUGUUUUAGAAAGCCUCCUAGGCGCAUGCAUAGUGCCUCGCCUUGCACACAAGUGCAUCUGUUGCGCCAUCUGGGGGAAUUCUUGUCACAUUUUCUUGGCUGGGAAAGGAUUUUCUUUCUAGUGAGACCCUUUAUCACAUUUUUUUUGUUUUGUCCCGUCUCUUAUUUUGGCUAGGAAAGGAUUUUGUCCUUGUUCAAUUUAGUUUGGACUUUUGAUCGCUGUCUAGGCGCUAAUGUGGUUCAGCUGCUGUCAGUCUGAUUUUUCCCAAAAAUCUCCAUCAUUUGGAUAACUUUGUUAAAAGCUUUAUUUUCAGAAUUAUGGUUUGAGCGGAAUCAACAUUUCUUCCAUGAUAAAGCAAAGUCAAAGAGCAGAAAUUAUGUGUGCAGUAGAUCUUAGUGUUGCAGCUUGGUGUUCAUUAAAAAAUGAGUCUGCUAAUUUUUCCAUUCAAGAUAUUUACCUCAAUUGGAAUGCCUUUCUUAAUCGAGCCUAACCAUUGCCGUUCAUUUUCUCUCCAUUUGCAGUUCUUACUGUCUGAAGUUUGAAGCUUUGAAGUCUUGACCUUGUUUAAUUUUAUUUUGAGAUUGUAAUUGUUUUUUGGGGUUUCUUUUAAUUUUCUGUUUUUUUUUCUGGACCUGGUAAUUGGCUGUUUGUUUGUUUUGUUUUGCUUUGAUAUUUACUUGAUAGAACACCAAGUAGUGUGUUCUACUAGUUUAUUUAUCAGCCAAACUUUUACAGAAAACAGAACUAACACAGAGUCUUGAAAACAAAGUACAACACAAGAACUAAUACAAAGUUCAACAUAAAACAACAAAACAGUAAAGGAGUUCACGAUAAUGGAAAUAACUUGCUACAGACUACAGAAACUGAACACUUUCUGCAUUCCCUGCUCUCCAGGAAAUUACAGCCCUCCACUUCCAGAAACUGACUAACCACCCUCUCUUCCCUUCCUUCUUUCCCUUUUAACUCUCUCCCAUGUAAUUAACCAUGGUCCCCACCAAGGUGGUUUCCACUUCUUUCUCCAUUUCCCUUCUCUUGUUCACGUGCAACUGCCUCCUUUUUCCUCCUGCUAUAUUGUAAAAUAAUUGGUGGUCUAUCAUCACUUUUUCGGGAUAUGAUGAUUGACGCUAUGGGGGUGUCGACCUAGUUGAUAUGUCCCCUUUCUAUUUCUUCUUUAUUGCUCUCUUUGUAUAAUUUUCUUGUACUUAGGGUUCUUAUUAAUAAAGAAGUUUUGUCUCCGUUUCAAAAAAACAUGAAACUGCUCUCUCUCAGCAGUGUUUUCAAAGCGCAAGGGGCACCUCAAGGUGAGAGGCGACAUAAAGGCAAUGCCUGAGCGAAGCGAGGUGCAAUGAAUGAAUAAAUAAAUAAAUAAUAUACGAGGUAGAACAUAAGUUUAUAGACAAAUGUCAAAGCCUCAAAGAUUAAUAAUAGUUCUGUAAUCAAGAAAAAUGAACAAAAUCGAUUGUAUAAUUCUCUUGUACUUUCAGUUUGAGUUCUAUUUAAUAAAGAAGUUUGUCUCCAUUUCAAAAAAUAAAAAAUAAAAAUGAACAGAACUCUAUAAGUACAAGUUUAAAACACCAUCAAAUAUCAAAUUCAUCAACAUCCCCAUCUAACUCUAUGGUUUCGUCCAUUGCUCCUCGGCCAUUGUUCUCCUUGAUGUCUAAUUCCUCUUCAUCGUCGUCCUCAUCUUCAUUACUAACUACUUGUAUAGUUGGUGCUUGCUUUUGAACUCUAGAAGUGGAGGGAGAGGUAGUUGACUUUCCUUUUGAUCUAGUGUACAUGAGGGGUUCUCUAACGCCGCUAGCACGAGCUACAUCUCCCCAUGUGAGGUCGUUGUCAUAAAAAACUAGCUCAUUGUCAACUUCAGCUUCAUCAUUUUCUUCAUCCAAUGUUUCGACCAACCAUUCAUUACUCUCGUCGAUAUGAUUUAAAGAGAUUGGAUCAAGUUGAUCCUUUAGAUUUUUUUUGAAAAGGAAACAACCUCAUUUAUUAAUAAAUGAACAAUGAAACUAAAUCUUAUAGUAUAAGAGGAUUAUACGAUGAGCAUUCAAACCAAGGAUAAGGAUGUGCAUUUGAGCAUCCCAGCUAAGUUGACACCCUCUUAGUAUCCUUAUCAUAUCCUACAUAAUAAAAAGAUAGAACAACUAAUAACGUCCAAGUGCAGGACUAACCACAACCAAUACAACUCAAAAAGGACAUAAGAAACAACUUCUAACCAGACUAGGAAUUAAAAAUACAGCCAGACAAAGAAAGAUUCUGAAACGGUUGGAAACACCAGAGGCUGUGAGCCAAAUCUGAAUCAUCAACAAGGAGGAAAGUUAAAAGGCCUGCCAGUUUAGUAAGAUAUAUUGCAUAGAGAAGUCUUUAAAUUGUUUUCGUAGAGAGCAUCACAAAGAGGCAUUCAGACGUGCGCACUCGUAUCUAUUGAACCAAGAGGAGGCUUUAUUGUGGAAGACUCGCAGAUUUCUCUCAAACCACAGUUCCAACAAAAUUUCCUUGACGGUAUUGCACCAAAGCAAGGAGGCAUUUUUUCAUCAUAACCGGACCAAGAAGUAACUGUCUAACAUUAUUCUUGCAUUCUUUAUCAAGGUCUCAGCUGAGAUUAAAGGUGUGAAAGAGUUUACUCCUACACUUGGCAGCAUAUACACAUUCAAACAAGUGCUGGAGUUCCGCAUGAAAUUUGAGAUAGAAUGGGCAUAUAUGUGGCGAAAUAUAAUGAGUGGGUAACUUCUUUUGCAUAAUGGAUGCACAAAUUGAACUCCUGAACAACAUAAUCGAUAGAGUUAUACUUACCCUCGGGCUUUUAGAUUUCUGAAGGCUUUUUUCCAACUGUAGGUCCAUCGGAGUGGCAGGAGACAAGUGCUUCGAUAAUGACUUUACUGAAAAAACCCCAUUAGUUUCCAUUAACCAGAUUCUUUUAUUCUCAAUAUUGGAUAAUCUUGUCCUUUCCAAGGAGCCCAGGAGAAGUUGAAAAUUAGAGAUUUCAAGCUCCUAACAAUCUUCUGAAAUCAAGAAACCCAGAGGAAGUGGAGGCGUUCCAAUGUUCUACAACCGAGCCUUUUGGAUUAAGGGCAAUUCUGUACAGCUUGGGAGUGUGGUCUUCAAAGCAAUUCUAUCCAUUCAUGGAUCCAACCAAAACAAAAUUUUGUCACCCUUUCCAACUUUAAAAGCUGCCACACUAUCUAGAAAUAUUUAUCCAAGGGCUUCUUAAACUUGAAUUUUCUUUGCCACUUGUGUGCCACUGGAAGAGGCUACUCCCGUGAAUACUACAAACCACCUUAUACCAUAGAGAGUUUUGUUCUGCCAUGAACCUCCACCUCCACUUGGCAAGAAGAGUAAUGUUUCUAAAUUUCAGCUUGUCCAGCCCAAGGCCCCCAUCUCCUUGGGGUUUGGAAACUAAUUCCCAUUUCACUAGGUGGUUCAACUUGCUACCGUUGUUCCCUUCUCAAAAGAAGUUCCUCCAUGGUUCUUUCAAUGGAAUUAGAGAUUUUUUUGGCAUGAGGAAUGUUUAGCAAUUCCUCAUGGAUGCCGCUAAGGAGAUCUUACUUUCCCCAAUAUUAAUUCCGCAUAUAGAUGACUUUUCCCAAUUUAUCUUUUGCCCAUAACACUAAAAUAUUUCAAGCGUCUUUUUAACGUUUUCAUGAAUAACUUCAUCAAACUUGGAAAAUAUUAAGGUGUUGUCUGCAAAUUGAAGGAGGGGAACAUGAACAUUGUUCUUUCCUACCAUGAAACCUUCAUACAAACCGUUCAAGUGUAGAUUUGAGAUGAAACUACUAAGCACUUCGCUAACCAGAAGAAAAGAAAGAGGGAAAGGGGAUCCCCUUGCUUUAACCCUCUUGAGGCUUGAAUUCUUCCUCUGGGCCUCCCAUUGACGAAUUCUGAAUACUUAGGGUUUUUAACACAAUCCAUGAUCAAUCCAGCACACAAGCAGCAGAGACAGCGGAGUUUGAAGGCGUUUUCGGAGGCAGUGUCUGUUCCUAACAGAGAAAACUAGGGUUUUCACGACUAUGUCUUGCUUGGAUAUACAGCAAGUUCUCAAUGAUUACAAAACCAAAGACCCACUCACCAUCACUACUCUCAAGCUCAAUCAAAAGGCUCUUUCUGAUAUAAAUGGUUUGUCCCUUUUCAAAAACUUGGAGAAGCUUGAUUUGACAUUCAACAAUCUCACAUCGCUUCAGGGGUUGGAGUCAUGCACCAAUUUGAAGUGGCUCUCAGUUGUACAAAACAAACUUGAUAACUUAAAAGGAAUUGAAGGGCUUUCUAGACUUAAUGUAUUAAAUGCGGGAAAGAAUAAGCUUCGGUCAAUGGACGAAAUUAGACCCCUUGUUGGCUUUUGUGCUUUGAUUUUGAAUGACAAUGAGAUUGCUUCUAUUUGCAAGCUUGAUCAGAUGAAGAACCUGAAUACUCUGGUUCUUUCUAGAAAUCCAAUCCACAGUAUUGGAGAUUCUCUGUUGAAAGUGAAUUCAAUGAAAAAGCUAUCCCUUUCUAACUGCAAACAUCAAUCUAUUGAAUCCCUCAAGUUUUGUAUCGAACUUAAAGAGCUUAGACUUGCUCACAAUGAAAUCAGGAUGCUCCCCAAUGCUUUGGCUCAUAACAAGAAGUUGUUGAAUUUGGAUUUGGGAAAUAAUGUCAUCAUGAGAUGGUCAGAUUUAAAGGUAUUGAGUUCAUUAGGCUAUCUGAGGAAUAUUUAUGUUCGAGGGAAUCCUAUUGCUGAAAGUGCUAAGUUAGAUAAAAAGAUUUGUCGACUGGUUCCAGGCUUGCGUGUAUUGAAUGCGAGAUCAAUUGAUAAAUGCAUUCAGAAUGAGAAUGAUAAUGGGAGUGAUAAAGAAGACGACACUCCAAUCAGGAGCCUAGAUCGUCAAAAAGAGAAAAAGGAUAGAAAACUGAAUGGGAAUGUUGAAACACACCCGUCUGUUCAAGGCACUGAUGGCAAACUUGAUCAUACUAAUGGUGCUGAUGUGGACAGGAAGUUGGAACGCAAAAAACGUAAGAUGGAUAAGGUCACCAGGGAGGAGAAAGUAAUUCCAUCUCUUGACAAUAAGAUAAAUCUCGGUACCAAUGAUAUUGAUAAGGAAAAGAAGACUUCAAAGCAGAAAAGAACAAAAAGCAAUAAGGAGCCAUCUUUGCCAAUACACAAGGAGACACUUACCAAGAUUGAAAACCAUAAGAAGAAAGCAAAGAAGGAAGGGGAAAGGCAGAUUGGUGUUAUUGACGACGCUGAAGUGCCAUUUGAACAGCUUUUCGGAGAUGAUCUUAUUGAAGACAUGGAUGCUGUUCUCCAAAAGGUUGGUGAGAAAGAAGUAGAGGAGAUGAAUUUAAAGCCUAACUUGGCAUCAUUUUCAGCUAAUAGAAAGGAAUCUAAAAGCCAAGAUCGAGUUGGAAGGUUACAAAUAUCCCCAAUAGUUGAAAUUGGAAUGGACGGAAUAUCAACAUGGGGGGAUGAGUAAUUGCAAUGCAAAGGCAUUCAGUUACUUGGGAAAAUUUGGAUCAAUCAUGGCAGCACCGUGGUCGGACAGGUGUGGAAUGCAGUAAUAGAAAAAGAGAAUGGGUUUUAGAAACUCAUUUCAGUUGUUGGUCUUGCAAUGAGCUAUGAAGCGUAAGCUACUGUUGUUGGGAGACUUGACUUUUGAUUUGGGGGAGUUCAUGAGAUGGAGGAUUUUUACUUUUCUGACUUAAACAAGUGACAUGCCAAAAGAUUUUGUAGCUUGUUGGUACCUGGGCAAGUUCUAAUUUGAAACUUACAUAUUUCUUCUUCAACAGCCUUAAAAUAGUGCAUAAUUAGAACUGUUAAUGCCUAAAUUGAAACAGAGGUGUUUGGGGGUAUAUUAUUUCAGUUUUUAUAUUAUUUCUAUAAUAGAGUUUGCCUUGUGUCUCUUAAAAAAAAAACAACACAAUCCAUGAUCGAAGAGAUGAUCCAUCAAUGAUUGAAAUUUUUCUGCUUCAAAAUUCUUUCCAAGAAACCCCAAUCAACUCGAUCAAAUGCCUCUCCAAGGUCCAGUUUGUAAUCCAUCCUUGCUUUUUUUGGACCUAUAAUACUCCACAACUUUAUUUGCAAUAAGUACAGGAUCCAGAAUUUGGCGGCCAUCCAAAAAGGCACUUUGAGUGAGAGCUCUAAUACUGGGCAUAAUUAUCUUCAUUCUUUCAGCAAGCACUUUUGCAAUCAAUUUGUACAGCAAAGUAGUGAAACUUAUGGGCCGGAAAUCAAUUACCUUUACUGCAUCUUCCUUUUUCUUGAUCAAGCAAAUAAAUUUCUCCUUUACAUGCAUUUAGUUUCCCAGUCCCAUAGAACUCAUUGAAUAAAUUUACAAAGAUUUCCUUGAGGAGAUCCCAAAAUUUGAUGAAGAAUUCUACUGUGAAGCUAUCCGGACCUGGAGCCUCUGUUUCUUCCAUUGAUUUUAAUGCUGCCCUGAUCUCCACCAAACUAAAUUUUGAAAUAAGCCUUUUAUUUUGAUCUGAAACUACAGACCAAUAAAAAACGGAGGUGUGAGGAGAUUUCUCAUAGAGGGUGCUGUAGAAAUCAAGUAUUAAAUGCUCAAUUUCAAAGAAUAAAGUGGUUGGGUUUCCUUGAUUAUUAACAAGCUUCGGAAUUAGACUUCUUUUUUUUUUUUUUCCCCCGAUGAGAACGAUGGAAGAAACUCAUAUUUUUGUUCCCCAAUUUCAGCCAAGUCAACUUAGUUUUCUGGAUUAUAUCUCUUUCCUCCCUUCUACAAAGAGCUAGAAGAUCCACUCUCUUAUUAACAAUAAGUGAUCCACUGUGCACGUAUCCGGUUGAUCAUAUUUUUUCUCUUCUAGUGCGAUGGCUUUUAAUAAGGUUUCUUCAUGACUUUUCUGUUUUCUUUCAUAAUCUGAAUGCCAUGAUUUGAGUUGACCCUUAAUGUUUUGGAGUUGAGUUGAUAAGGCAAAGCCCAUCCAGCCCGGAGGAGUGCUUGUGGUUAAUGAAUUUUCAAUAAAUUGGCAGCAAUGCUUGUCUAGCAACCAGCUGUUGCAAAAUCGAAAAGGGGAAGGCUCCCACUCGAAUGCCCCUGCUUCUAAUAAAAAGGGAAGUGGUUUGAGGAGAUCCUUACUUGACGAGUUACACGUGUGUUCGCAAAAGCCUUGUCCCGGUCAAAAGUAACUAAAAAUCUGUCAAGCAAUGAUCUCAAAACUACUCUUCCUUCUCUUGACCAUGUUAAUUUUCUGUUCAGUAAAAUAACUUCAAUGAGUUUCCAUUCUUCAAUGAAUUUAUUGAAUUUCCUCAUUCAUGCCACAAGUCAUUCUACUUGCUGGAAAUCGCUCCCCUUUGAUUUGGUCAUAUUAAAAUCCCCUCCCAAACACCAAGCUUCUAUACAAUAACCAAUGAGGGAGAGCAGCUCUGACCAAAUGAAUUUUCUCUCUGUAAUCAGUAGGUCCAUAAAUAUUGGUUACCCAACACAACUUAUUGCACAUUGUUCUGCAUUUAACUGACAGUGAGUGGCCCCUUUCAAUACUUCAAUAAAAGAAAAUUUACUUUCAUCUCACUUGGUUAACAUUCUUCCUGAUUUUCCAUGAGCUUCAAGAAAGAUCCAUCCAGUUCCUUUUGAUCUCCAAGUGGAUUGAAAACAAAGUAUUGACCCAUUCCAAUCUUGAAAGAAAUAUGGGAAAAAGGAAGAUGACAAUAGGCAGUAGCUUAUAAUCCUUUUCCGUGGGAUAUAUGAGGAAGACUUGACACUGAGAAUAGGCUUUUGGUUGGAAAUGUGAGGAGCUAUAAUAAGCUGUGAGCACCUUCCACCCAACAGAGAACUUUUGCUUGUAAUAUCUUUGAAUCCACUUGGUCAAAAGGGCCUUAGUAUCUCUCCACCUGGCUGCUGUUAGCUUGCACUGCUAUUUGGAUUCUUGGUUGUGGCCUCUUGAUCCUACUUCUGGUUUUACUGUUAGAUCCCUUAUAGCUGACUUAGUGGGCACGGUUGAUCCAUUAUUGUCUGAUUUUUGUUCUGUGAUUUGGAAAGAUAGAUUUUCCUAAAACGAUGAAAAUUUUUCUUUAAGAUCUUAGUUGGGGUGCCAUCAAUACUGCUGAUUGUCUUCCACGUUGCAUGCUUUAUAUGUCUAUUUCUCCUUCUUGGUGUCACAUGUGUUGCUGCUACGCUGAAUCUUCGAUCCAUUUGUUUUUCCAUUUUCCUCUUGCUGCCAAUUUUUGGGAUAUUCUUUUUAGGCUUUUUGAUGGUCUUAUACGUGUCUUAAUAACAUUUUGGACACAUUGGCUUCUCUUCUGGUGGGUCAACCCUUUGGUGGUACAAAGAUGACACUUUGGUUGACAUGCGGCGUUCUUUUGGUAUCUGUGGGGUGAAAGGAAUAAGUGGCUUUUUCAUGAUUCUUCUUCCUUGUUCAAAUAUUUUAUGGAAUUUGUUCUGUCUAUUUCUUUUCCUUGGUGUAAAGCUAAGCCCCCCUCUCUCUAUAGAUAAUCUAUUUUAGUUAACAAUUGGACAUCCUUCUCUUCUAUAAGUUCCUUUAGGUGUUUGGGGUUUUCCCCAGAUUUCAUUUAUAAAUGAAAUGUUUUUUUUACAAUUGGACUUCUCUUCUGUACUGGGUAUCACCCGAACCCCCUUGCAAAAUUAGUUUCUUCACAUUAUCCCUCUUCACAAAGUGGGAGGAGGCAUUUAUGAAUAUUUCUAAAGUGAAUACUUCUUUGAUGUCCUGACUUAUUAAAAGUGUAUUGAAUUUUCAGAUCGCAAAGAACAUGGAAGUGUUUAUAUGGUCCUGAGAUUAUAAGAGUCUUAAUAAUCAGGAUAGGCUUCAGAAUUUGAUGAGGUUUAACCUUUUUGCCUGUUCAUAUGCAGUUUGUAUAUGGAAAAGGAGGACAAUAUUUAUCACCUUUUUCCUCAUUGCUUCUUUGCUUCCAAGGGAAGAAGCUUUCUGCUUAGUACCUUCAGAUUUCCGCUUGUCUUUCUAAUUCUAAUCAUAUUGAUGACUGGCUUUCUCAAGUGAAGUUGAAGUCCUUUGGGGUAUGCUGUCGGGGCAUUCCUUUAGUUGCGUUGGCUUGAAAGUAACUUUAAACUUUUUGAAGCUAAGUCUUCUGAUAUAACUUCUUUUGGUGGAAAUUUACAACUCAUCUCCUUGUGGUGGGCUCAUAGUUAUAGCCAAUUCUUUUGCAAUUAUCCAAUUUCUUUGCAUCACAACAAUUGGUCAAAUUUUCUGCAAUUAGUUUUUUUGGGAUGGGGUUCACUUUUCACCGUCCCUAAGCUGUUUCUACUUCGCUUUUGUCUGAUGAUGUCUCUUAUAAAACAUCAAUGUGUGAUAGCAGAAGGAAAUUGUUAGCAGCCGGUCUUUUUUGCUGUCCAGACAUAUGGACGUGUUUUCUCCAUUAUUUUUCCUGUUUAAUUUUUUCUCGCUCUCAUUAUUUUUUCCAUUUCAUAGUCCUUGUAAAUACUAAAAUGUCUUCUGCAAUGCAGAUUGUUGAUAGGCUUCAUUGGUACAUAGAGAAAGGCAAUACAGUAAGUCCAUUAUGUUGAUUUGUUUGAUUUUUAUUAUAUUGAGCAGAAUUCGUUAUUUAUUUUUCUUAGUGCAACAUUUUCUUUCAAUGCAUUUCAUUGUUAGGAGGCUAUCUGUUACCUUAAAUAUUCUUUAGAUUCAUUAUGCACUCCACAAUCUCACAAAAAGUACAAGCCUCGUAUGUUAUCCUUUUGAACUCCUAUGAUUGUGAAAGUUGAGAGAUGUUUACAAUCAUGGAACCACUCGGGGAGGGGGGGGGGGGGGGGUUCAUCUAACUCUUCUACAAGCAACCCUUUCAAACUCCCCACGUCCUACUUAUCCUUAUUUACAAAAAGAAAGGUAUCGUCUAUGAUUGCAGGAUUGAAAGAUUUUAGAAUAAAAAAUAGAAGCCAUGUUAGAUAUUCUCUUCGAAUUGUGCUCAGGGCAGCAAGUUAAUUGGGAGAAGUAAGCAUUAUAUGGAGGCAAUAUUGAUGAGGCUACAUUGAUCUCUACUUCUUCAAGGCUGAAUUGGGAGGCUGGUAAUUGCCUUUAUAUAUCUUGGCUUACCUCAUGGUGGUUAUUCUAAACAGCAGUCUUUUUGGCAGCCUGUUAUAGAUAAAGUCCAUUUGAAACUCGAUAAAUGGAAAAGGGUAUAACUUGUCCAGAGGGGCCGUUUAACUUUUUUUUUUUUUUUAAGAUAAGAAACAUUUCAUUGAUAAAUAAAAUCUGUACAACAUUUUCUACUCUGGGUAAAAUGGUUUCUUGUUAGAAAAAUCCUACUUGUUUGAAACCUUAAAAAGUGUCAUCUCUCCAUUGGGUACAUCCAAAUAUAAUGGUACAAAUAUGUGCUAUAAAAAGUUUCUUUAUCCUAUGACCAUUUUUUUCUUUAAAGAUAUGUAAGAAGUGACACUGAACUGUGUCCUUUGUAGCUAUGAUGCCCAAACAAUAAUCAGCUCGUUUGUAUUUAUAUUCAUCGUUAUAGACCUCUUGAAUUGUCUAUUUACCUAUAUUCCUAUUUAAUUUCUUUGGUUUUUGUGUGAUUCAACUUUAUGCAACCCUCAUGUAUCUCUCUUUUUGUUGAUGAAAGUUCUUAUUUUUCACAAAAGAGAAGAAUCAAACUUGUAUACGUUCCUAUUGCCUGGUAUUUUCUGUGAAUUUGACUGGUAACUGGCCAGGCGUUGAAGGGAUAUUUCUGUAUGUGUUUCUUCUACUUGGUCAUUGACUAGAUGCCCUGUUUCCAAUCUCCUUUUAAUGCUUUUAAUGUAUAAUUUGAUGGCACUUUUUCGGGUCUUAAAGGAUCAACAAAAAGAAAGGAACUGCACGGCAGAACUGCGAUCAGAGCUUUAUCUGGAACUUGGGAAGAACAAGUUGAAGGGACCACUUUUCAGGCUUAUAAAUUUGACUUCUCCUGUAGUGUUAUAUAUGAGGUUUAUUCUGGAUUUGUGCUUCUGAUAGAAUCAAAACUUCAUGAUGAUGUGAGCAAUUUUGAACUUGAACUUUAUUUACUCUCAAAGAUGGUUAAAGCUUCUGUGUCCUUUGGCGGGGAGGUUCAUUUGGAUGCUGAACAGGUAAAUAUGUUAAUUUUCAUCAUAUUCAUUGUUCUUCACCGUCAGAGAAUUGCCUCUAAUGUGAUAUCAUCACCUUCCAAAAAAGCAGAUAACCAUAGCUCUUGAAAGCACUAUUUACCUGUUCAGUAUUUAUGGAUUUGAUGAAUAAGGUGCUUAAGGAUUUCUUAGACACUUCUGUGAUAUUUUUUAUUGAUCACAUCUUGGUUUACUCCAAGACAGAGGCUGAGCAGAGGAGUAUUUGCAUAAGGUAUUAGAGACUCUUCGAGCCAAUAGGCUAUAUACCAAGUUUUCCAAGUGUGAGUUUUGACUGAAGCAAGUUUUGUUCCUUGGCCAUGUAGUGUCCAGUGAAGGAGUUAUUAUAGACCCAGCAAAGAUUAAAGUUGUUACCAUUUGGCCUCGACCUUGUACAGUCAGUGAAGUUUAAAGUUUUUUGGGUUUAAUAGGUUAUUACAGAAGGUUCGUGGAAGACUUCUCUCGUAUAGCUAGUCCUUUGACCUAGCUAACCAGGAAGGGGAAUCCUUUUGUUUGGAGCCCAGCAUGUGAGAGCAGUUUCCAGGAUCUUAAACAGAAACUUGUUACUACACUAGUCCUUAUAGUGCCAGAUGGAUCUGGGAGUUAUGUGAUUUACAGCGAUGCCUCUUAGAAAGGAUUGAGUUGUGUAUUGAUGCAAUAAGGUAAGGUGGUUGUUUAUGCCUCUCCUCAGUUGAAGAGCCAUGAGCAGAACUACCCUACACAUGAUUUAGAGUUUGGCAGCAAUAGUUUUUGCACUUAAGAUUUGGAGGCAUUAUUUAUAUGGUGAGAAGAUUCAGAUCUUCAUUGACCAUAAGAGCUUGAAUUGGUCAAGGACUUAAAUAUGAGAUAAAUAUGAGAUAGCGCGGAUGGCUCGAGUUGGUCAAGGACUACGAUCAUGAGAUCGUGAGUUAGUAGGAAGGUAUCAUACUCUGUAGCACUCAUUACUAGUCAGGUUCCUUUGCACAGAGAUCUUGAGAGAGCUAAGAUUGCAUUUUUAGUAGGAGAAGUCACCUCACAGUUAGCUCAGGUGUCAGUACAACCAACUUUGAGGCAGAGAAUUAUUAUUGCUCAGCUCACUGAUCCUUAUUUGGUUGAUAAGUGAUGCUUAACAGAAGUAGGGUAAGCUGAGGAGUUCUCUUUAUCCUCUGAUGAUGGACUCAUGUUCGAGAGACGGUUAUGUGUGCCAGCAGACAGUGUAGUUAAGACAGAGUUGUUGGUUGAGGCCCAUAAUUCUCCACUUUCUAUGCAUCCAAAUAGUACAAAGAUGUAUAAAUAUUUAAAACAAGUUUACUGGUGGAAAAAUAUGAAGAGGGAAGUGCCAGACUUUGUCAAUAAGUCUCUAGUUUGCUAACAGGUGAAGACACUAUAACAGAAGCCAACAGGUUUUUUGCAACCUUUGAGUGUGCCGGAAUGAAAGUGGGAGAAUGUGUCUAUAGAUUUCAUUUUAGAACUGCCAAGGUCUCUGAAGGGUUAUAAAGUAAUUUGGUUUAUUGUUGACAAGCUCACGAAGUCAGCCCAUUUCAUCUCAGAGAAGGCCACUUGUACUGCCAGUAAGUGGCACAGUUGUAUAUGACCGAGAUAGUGAGACUGCAUGGAGUGCUCGUGUCAAUUGUUUCUGAUAGAGAUGCCUAUUUUACUUCCAAGUUUUGGAAAGGACUUCAGGCUGCCAUGGGCACGAGAUUGGACUUUAGUAUAACUGUUCACCCUCAGACUGAUGGUUAGACAGAGCGUUUGAGCCAAAUUUUGGAGGAUAUGUUCCGAACAUGUGUGCUAGAGUUUUCAGGAAGUUGGACUCCUAUUUGCAUUUGAUGGAGUUCGCUUAUAAUAACAGUUAGGCAGGCUACCAUUGACAUGGCAUCAUUUGAAGCUCUGCAUGGUAAGUGUUGUAGAUUCUCUGUAUGUUGGGGUGAGGUUGGUGAGCAGAGGAUGUUAUGUCCCAAGCUAGUUCAGACCACCAAUGAGGCCAUACAGAAGAUUAGAGCCCGCAUGUUGACAGCGCAGAGCAUACAAAGAGUUACGCCAAUGAACAACGUAGGGAUCUUGAGUUCGAUGUAGGGGACAUGGUUUUUGUAAAGGUAGCACCUAUGAAGGGUGUUAUGAGGUUUGAGAAGAAGGGAAACCUGAGUCCACGUUUCGUAACUCAUCAUUUGGCAUUGCCUCUGUCAUUGUCUGCAGUUCAUGAUGUAUACGAUGUAUCCAUGCUGAGGAAGUGUGUAACAGAUCCAACACAUAUAGUUGAUUAUGAGUCAUUGCAAAUCAAUGAGAACUUGAGCUAUGAGGAGCAACCAGUUGAGAUUUUGGCAAAAGAAGUUAAGUUGCUUCAUAACAGGGGAAUUAAUUAAUGUUCUUUAUCAAAACCACGAGGUUGAAAAAGCUACUUGGGAGAGAGAGGACAACAUGAGAGCUCAUUAUCCCGAGCUAUACAAGGAUUAGAACUUUCAAGGACGAAAGUUUCUCAAAGGACGUAAUCUUAUUUUUAAAUUAUCUUAAUUUAAUUUAAUUUAUGAUGGAUUUAGUCUAGUGUUAUAAUUUUUUAGAAUUGUUUGUUUUGUGGAAAUUGUGAUUAAUUAAAUGUUCAAUGGAAGAUUAUUUAAUUAAUUGUAUUAUUGGAAAUUUUGGUGAGAUUUAAGAUUAUUGGCUAAUUAUAUAAGUAAAUAUAAUAAACUAAGUCAUGGAAGGGUAAGAAUAAUUUAUUAUUGACUUUUUUAGGAAAGAUAUUUUUGAGCGAGAGAAAAUAAUUAUAUUGUGGAAAAUAUAAUUAUUUUGAAAGAUAUUGUAUUCUUGGGAAAAAUAAAAAGUUUGGUUUGAUGAGGAGACAGAGUAUAAUUUAAUUGAGUUAACUUGUUAAUUGGAAAUGGAAAAGGAAUAAUGAUAAUAAUAAUAAAUAUCAUCAUUAUUAUUAUAUAUAAUUAACCCUCGUGAAACGUGCAAAGAAAAGAGAGAACUAUUCAUCAUCUUCUUCCUUCUUCACAAACCCUAGUCGUCACUGAACCCAUUGCAAGGAUCAUCACUCGUCGUUUGUGGACACUAUCAUUCCUCCUCCGUUCGCGUACAGGUGAAGUUGAGGUGUCUCUCUCUUUUUAUUUAUUUUUCGCACGUUUUUGUCAAGCCUCAUUGUCGGCAAGUUCUGUCUCGUGCCACCAAAAUCUCAUCGCAGCAGCAGUCGAACGAACCUUUUGCCUGACCAAGCCGAUAUGUGCAUCACCGAGCCGAUUCUCCACUUCUUCACAAGUUGCCCUCAACUCUGCUGAUUUUUCCUCUCUUUGCGAGUAGUGCGCCCAAGCUAACCGUCGAGCCGAUUCUCCUUCUGUCAAGUUGUGUGAGCCAUUUCUACCUUAGUCCAAGCCAAGUUACUUUUUGGUAUCUCUUGAGCCUUUUGGGUGAAUUUGUGUUGGGUUUGGUACGUCCAAAUGAAUAUUCUUUGGAUCUUAAAUAAGUUUACAAGAGAAUGAGUUGAAUUACUUUUGCUCGAAGGUUCAAGUGUUAAUUUGAGGAUUUGAAACUGCAAAUUUUUUCAUUCAAGGUUGUGUUGGAUUCAACCUUAGUCUUGGGGUAAGUUUGGAUGCUUAAUUAAAUAGUUGGAUGAUGGUUGACAAAAUUAACAAUUUUAAUUUUGUUUAUGUUUAGGCCUGACUUAAUUGAGAAUUGACUGUCAGGAAGGGACUAUAUUUUCAACUAAUUAAUCUCCAGGUAAAAGAUUCUACUACCAGCCUCUUACAUUAUGUUUUACCUUAGUAUGCAUUAACAUAGUUAUGAUGCAUGUGAUGUGACUGUUAAGGAUGUUAGAUAAUGAUAGCAACAUAGAAAAUCGUUAUGUAUGACUGAGAUAUGUGAUGACCAUGAUAUGUUAUGAAUGAGAUAUACUAUGGUUGAGAUAUAUUACGAUUAAGAUAUGAUAUUUAUGUUAUGCUAUAUAUGCUAUGAUGUUCUGUUAGCUUUACUUGUUAGAGUCGUACCAUGUAGGUGUCCCUCGGGAUCACCACCUAUUUAUGUAUUUGUGGUUAGGUUUGAUGUGUGAUUCGACAAGAUCACUUACAACUUGACUCUUCUUUAGGGUGAUUCCUUCUGCUUCACCAAGAGCCCAUAUAUGUCCCUACGAGAUCACUGGAUAGGGUGAUUUCAGUAGAAUAAUAGAUAUGCGGUACUUUCUUAUAGGAGGACUUUAACGUAAAAUUAACAAACACGUAGUGGGACUAAUAGUGGAUCCCUUACUAAGUAUAAAUUUAGACUAACUCCUUUCUAGAUUUAAUUUUUCAGGCAAAGAUAGAAAUAAGGCAAGUUGGCGAAUGACAAGAAGUCACCAUGGUUCUCCAUAGGGGACAAUUUAUGUUUUAUUUAGCAUUUAUAUUUUCAAUAUUAAAUUUUCAUAAACUUAUUUCAGAACCCACAUUUACUUUUAGAUAUAUAUUUUUAUUUUAAAUAGGGCCCAAACUAAUAUUUUAUUUAUUGUUUUCUUUACAUACUUUACUUAUAUUUUAUGAAUAAAUAUUUGAAGUGUUUGUUUUAAAACUUAGUAUUUUCUUUGAUUUAAAUAAAAAGUCUUUAUUUGUUUUAGUAGUAAUGACCUCAACUUAGUAUAAAGAGUUGGGUCGUUACACUUUCGAGUUAUGUAGAGGAUGUAAACCUAGUUAAGUCACUCCAUAAUUUGGGGUUGUCCAGCACACGUUUUAGUGUCAAAUUCUAAGAAGUUGGACUCUCGUUCAAGGUUAUGUCAAUUUUUUGGUUAUCCUAAAGAAACGAGAGGUGGUCUAUUCUUCGAUCCACAAGAAAACAAAGUGUUUAUAUUGACAAAGGCUACUUUCUUGGAAGAAAACAACAUGAGAGAUCAUAAACCAUGAAGCAAAUCAAAAUUAAGUGAAGCUACUAAUGAAUCAGCAAGGGUUGUUGAUGAAGUUGGUCCCUCAUCAAGAGUUGAGGAAACCAACACAUCCGAUUAGUCUCAUCCUUCUCAAUUGUUGAGAAUGCCUCGAUGCAGUGGGAGAGUUAUAUCACAACCUAAUCGUUACUUCGGUUUAACUGAAACUCAGGUUGUCAUACCAGAUGAUGUCGUUGAGGAUCCAUUGUUCUAUAAAUAGGCAAUGACUGAUGUAGACAAGGACUAAUAGGUUAAAACCAUGGAAUCUAUGUACUUCAAUUCAGUAUGAGAGCUUGUAGAUCUACCUGAAGGGGUGAAACCCAUAGGGUGCAAAUGGAUCUAUAAGAGAAAGAGAGAUUCAGCUGGGAAGGUACAAACCUUCAAAGCUAGACUCUUAGCAAAUGGGUAUACCCAAAGGGAAGGGAUUGACUACGAGGAAACUUUUUCUCUGUUGCUAUGUUAAAGUCUAUAAGGAUUCUCUUGUCCAUAGUCACUUUUUAUGAUUAUGAAAUAUGACAAAUGGAUGUUAAUACUGCUUUUCUAAGUGGCAAUCUUGAAGAGAGUAUCUUUAUGUCUCAGCCUGAGGGGUUCAUAACCCAAGGUUAGAAACAAAAAGUUUACAAGCUGAAUCGAUCCAUUUAUGGGUUGAAAUAAACAUCUAGAUCUUGGAACAUUAGAUUUGAUAUUGCGAUCAAAUCUUACGGUUUUGACCAAAAUGUUGAUGAGCCUUGUGUAUACAAGAAAAUCAACAAAGAUAAAGUAGCUUUCUUAGUACUUUAUGUGGACGAUAUCCUUCUCACUGGAAAUGAUUGUACUACCUAACUAACGUUAAAACUUGGCUACCAGUCCAAUUCUAAAUGAAAGAUUUGGAGAGGCACAAUUUGUUCUUGGAUCCAAAUCAUAAGGGAUCGUAAGACAAAAUGCUAGCAUUGUCUCAGGCAACCUAUAUCGACAAAAUAUUGGUUCGAUAUUCGAUGCAAACUCUAAGAAGGAUUUAUUACCUUUCAAGCACGAGGUUUACUUGUCUAAGGAACAAUGUCCUAAGACACCUCAAGAAGUUGAGAAGAUAUGAGACAUAUUCCAUAUGCCUUAGUUGUGGUAGCUUAAUUUAUGUUAUGUUCUGCACUAGGUUAGACAUUUAUUAUGUAGUGGAAUAGUCAGUAGUAUCAGUCCAACUUAGGGUUAGACCACUAGACGACGGUUAAAAUUAUUCUUAAGUAUCUUAGGAGAAUGAGAAACUACAUGCUUGUGUAUGAAGCUAGGGAUUUAAUCCUGAUUUCUAAACAGAUAAGGAUUCUAGGAAAUCUAGUGGGAUUAGUGUUCACCCUAAACGGGAGAAUAGUAGCAUGUCAUAGCAUCAAGCAAGGAUGCAUUGUAGACUCUACUAUAAAGGUUGAGUACGUCGUUGCUUGUGAAGCAACAAUAGAAGCAAUUUGCUAAGGAAGUUUCUGCAAGAUUUGGAAGUUUGUUCCAAAUAUGAACAUGCCCAUCACUUUAUAUUUUGAUAUCAAUUGGGCACGUGACCAAAUUAUAAGGAACCUCAUAGCCACAAAUGAGGAAAACAUAUAGAGAAAAUAUCAUCUGAUACAAGAGAUUGUGCAACGAAGUGAAGUGAUCGUCACCAAGAUCGCAUUUGGAGCAUAACAUUGCUGAUCCAUUUACAAAGACUCUCACGGCUAAAGUGUUCGAGGCUCAUCUAGAGAGUCUAGAUCUGCGAGUUUUGUACAUUAGGUAAUCUAGGACAAGUGGGAGAUGUGUAUGGGUAUGGGGAUGUCCUAGUUUAUUGUAUUGGGAUUUAAUUGUUGAGUACUACAAAUUUGUAAAUCUACUAAUUUAGAGGAUUUUCUCAUAUCGUGCUUCAUUUCUAAUUCAUUUUAAAGGAUUUCUCUUGAUCUCUAAAAAGAGUGGUCGUAAUGGUUUGAUCCUAAACCGUGGAAAUGAUUGAGCUUGUUCUUACACUUGAAAAAAGCAACGUUGUAUGGAUCUACUCUAAGCCAUCGAAAGAGUCAAGUUUGAGUGAAAUAACCAAGAGGAGCUUGAAAAGUGGAUGUAGGUCGGUUGUGCCGAGCCACUAUAAAAUUCCCGAUGUUAAUUUUUUAUCUCUCAACUAUUUAAUUUUGCAAUUAAUUUGUUAUCAAAUUUUAGUGUUUGAAAUUAAUUGCAACUUUUGUUCUUGAGAUUAAUUGCUCACUUCUCUAUUUAGGUUGGUUUAAGUUUAUCUUUGCAUAUUUGUGUUUACAAAUUUUCUUUAUAAACAUUAAAAUGGAUGUUUGAAUUUGUUAACGUCACUUAUAAGUUAUUUUGAUGUGCAUGCAUUUGUAUGAGAUUAUUGAUUACAUUAUUUAUUAGCAAAAAGUUUGUUAAUUUAUUUAAUUUGGCCCACUUGUUUCAUUAAUUUGUAAAAACCCUAUUCACCCUCUUGAGGAUUCCCAUACCGAUCGUACACGAGAUACAAUUGAAGAUAAUUCAAAUUCUAGAUUAAGUUAAAUAUGUGAUGCUUAACUUAGUAAUUAAUUAAUUGGAAAAGUAAUUAAUUAAAUUAAAUCAUGAAUAAUACACAUAAAUGUAGCAAAACCCAAAAAUAUUUACGUCGCAUGUAACAAAAAAUUAAAGCACAUGAAGCCACCAUUAUUUUUUUUAAUAAAUUUCAGGAUUUUCCUUUGUCAUUAUUUUUGCGCAUUGUGAAACCAUUCUUCACUUCACUUCUUUUUCUUCUUCUUUCCAAUUUAUUCUUCUCUUCUUCGUAUUAUUAAUUUCUUCAUAUUAUUAUCUUCUCUUUCAUAUUCUCACUUCUUCUUGUCUGUGAUUUCAUUUCCUUUUUCAAAAUUUCUUCCUUCUUCAUCUCUCAUCUUCUUUUUUUUGCUUCUUGUACAAGAUCUAAAUGAUAUUAGUACAUGAUUUAAAUGAUAAUGUAUCAAUAUCUAAAUCAUCAGUUGUCUAUCCCAGAUAAACAGACAUAGACCACUGUUACUAAUGGAUCGUUUAGAUUUGGUAGAAUAUUGUUUAGACUAAAUAAAAGAUCGUUUAUGUUGGGAUUUAUGUCCUAAAACUCGUAGAUUGUAAACUUCUGUUUACUAGUCAGGUUUCUAUUCAUUAGGAUGACCUAGGUAACUUAGUUUUAAUUGUAACGCCCCAACUUUUCUAGAAGGUUGAGGUCAUUACUAUUUAAGUAAAUAUAGAUUUUUUUUAAUAUACAAGAAAAUAAAUUAAAAUUUGAGGAAAAACUUUAAAUAAUAAGUAGUUAAAAUAACUGAUCAAAAUACCAGUUUGGGCCCAAAAAUAGAAGAAAUACUUAAAGUAAUUGAACCAGAGUUCUGAAAUAAACCUAUGAAAAUAUAACUAUUGAAAUAUAAAUGCGGAAGAAAACUGAAUUGUUCCCUAUGGCGAUCUAUGAUCACUUCUUAUCAUUCGCUAUUAUGCCCUUGCGUCUACCCUUACCUGAAAUUAAACAUUUAAAAGAGUGAGUAUAAAUUUAUACUUAGUAAGAGACCCAUAGUGGUCUCACUAUGUGUCUGUUAACCUUUCGUUAGAGUCCUGUAACAUGGUACCGCAUACUAUUGCGCUCCCGAACGCAUACUAUCAAGUGGUUCCGUAGGGACACAUCUAGGCUCUCGGUGAACCCGAAGGAAUCAUCCUAUAGGAGAGUCAGACUGUAAGUGAUCCCGUCGAAUCACAUCUCAAACAAGUCACACAUGCAUACAUAGGUGGUGACCCUGAUGGACCCCCAUACGGUACAACUCUAAUAGGCAAAACUAACAGAACACUAUAGCCUAUACAUGUUUAUCAUAAGAUCAACAUCUUAGCUCAAUUACACAUAACUCAAAAGUAACAUAUUUGAUUAUAGCAUGCCUCAACAAAUAAUACUAUAUCUAAAUCAUAAUAUGGUUUUCAAAGUAACUAUUUAUACGACCAUCUCAAACAACAUAAUUCAACUCAUUCCAGUGCUAACUCAUUUUAGACCCAAAACAAUAAUUAUUUGGGUGUACCAAACCAACGAGAAUUAAGCAAAAACUCACCAAGGGCUUAAAUAUGUUGCAGACGGCUAAAACUGAAGGUGGCUCGACUAACAACGCUUCAGCUCGAGUCUUGAGACUCACGGCUGGCAUACGACUCACACAGGAAUGGCUCGGUUGCGCGUGGCUCGCGUAUGGCUUACACGAAACGGCUCGGAUCCACAGAGAUGACUCACGAGGCUCGGUGAAGGAAUACGACUCGAACUAACACGACUUGGACAUGUGGCUCGCAAAAAGAAAACUUUCACAGCUUGCAUCCUUCACUGUCAAGCACGAUGAUGUCCGGCGGUGCUGUGCGAGUGGAGGCAACGACGGGUGAUGGUUUCGACGGAAGAGAGGGUUCUGACCGAUGAUGUGGAGGAGGAACGCACAGAGGAAGACAGGGGUCGUUCGACGGUUCGAUGCAACACGCGUC
rnacentral:lncRNA from 1 species